GUAUAUAUAUAUAUAUAUAUAUUUGGGGCCCGGCAGUGGGACAUUCCAAAGCACACUAGAAAUGCAUACUUCUUAAUCAGCUAAAAUGGCUACCGCUUUUU